rnacentral:rRNA from 1 species
UACAGAGGGGGCAAGCGUUGUUCGGAAUUACUGGGCGUAAAGGGCGCGUAGGCGGCCUUCUAAGUCGAACGUGAAAUCCCCGGGCUCAACCCGGGAACUGCGUCCGAUACUGGAAGGCUUGAAUCCGGGAGAGGGAUGUGGAAUUCCGAGGUGUAGCGGUGAAAUGACGUAGAUAUCAGGAAGAACACCCGUGGCGAAGGCGGCAUCCUGGACCGGUAUUGACGCUGAGGCGCGAAAGCCAGGGGAGCAAACGGGG